UGGGGAAUAUUGCGCAAUGGGGGAAACCCUGACGCAGCAACGCCGCGUGGGUGAUGAAGGCCUUCGGGUCGUAAAGCCCUGUCAGCAGGGAAGAAACUCCGGGAUUCGAAUAGGGUCUCGGAUUGACGGUACCUGCGGAGGAAGCACCGGCUAACUCCGUGCCAGCAGCCGCGGUAAAACGGAGGGUGCAAGCGUUGUUCGGAUUCAUUGGGCGUAAAGAGCUCGUAGGCCGCUCUGUAAGUCGGAAGUGAAAGACCACGGCUCAACCGUGGAAACGCUUUCGAAACUGUGGAGCUUGAGGCCGGGAGAGGAGAUCGGAAUUCCUGGUGUAGCGGUGAAAUGCGUAGAUAUCAGGAGGAACACCCGUGGCGAAGGCGGAUCUCUGGACCGGUUCUGACGCUGAGGAGCGAAAGCUAGGGGAGCAAACAGGAUUAGAUACCCAGGUAGUCCCUGAGCGGGCUGGCAAGGCGCAU
rnacentral:rRNA from 1 species